UACGGCCAGUUCACGUUGAAACACCGCUUCCCGUAAGGUCACAGAAGUUAAGCAAUGUUAAGCCUGGUCAGUACCUAGAUGGGUGACCACAAG